AACGCACCUUGCGCCCUUUGGCUAUUCUGAAGGGCAUGCCUGUUUGAGUAUCAUGAACACCUCAACUCCUCAUGGUUUUGCCAUGAUGAGCUUGGACUUUGGGGGUCUUGCUGGCCUAUGGUCAGCUCCUCUCAAAUGGAUCAGCUUGCCAGUGUUUGGUGGCAUCAUGGGUGUGAUAAAUAUCUACGCUUGUGGUUUUCCGCCAUAUAACCUUUAGCAAUGAAGGUUCGCUGCAGCUCACAAACGUCUCUCCUCCGUGAGGACAGCUUUUCAAAUGUUUGAUCUCAAAUCAGGUAGGAUUACCCGCUGAACUUAA
rnacentral:misc_RNA from 1 species